AGCGAACGCUGGCGGCAGGCCUAACACAUGCAAGUCGAACGAAGUCUUCGGACUUAGUGGCGGACGGGUGAGUAACACGUGGGAACGUGCCUUUAGGUUCGGAAUAACUCAGGGAAACUUGUGCUAAUACCGAAUGUGCCCUUCGGGGGAAAGAUUUAUCGCCUUUAGAGCGGCCCGCGUCUGAUUAGCUAGUUGGUGAGGUAAAGGCUCACCAAGGCGACGAUCAGUAGCUGGUCUGAGAGGAUGAUCAGCCACAUUGGGACUGAGACACGGCCCAAACUCCGACGGGAGGGAGCAGUGGGGAAUCUUGCGCAAUGGGCGAAAGCCUGACGCAGCCAUGCCGCGUGAAUGAUGAAGGUCUUAGGAUUGUAAAAUUCUUUCACCGGGGACGAUAAUGACGGUACCCGGAGAAGAAGCCCCGGCUAACUUCGUGCCAGCCGCCGCGGUAAGAC
rnacentral:rRNA from 1 species